CUCACAGUUAGUGUCAAGAACCAUGGGAGGCAGUUGGUUCUUGGUAAUUUCUCUAGUGGCAGUGUGGCUCAAUGAAGGGUCAUGUUUGCCAAUUGAUGCAAAACUAGAAUGGGCUGGUCAAAAGGAAGUGUUGUCAGCCAUUGACCAAUCUCUGAAACAUGGCAAUAUGUUUCUACAGGCUCUGGAUUCAAAGUUGAGCAUACUAG